CAGUAUUUGUACCUCACUUUGUCCAGUCCUUUUGCCAUUGCUCACUGUCUUAGUUAUCUUCUGGUUCCAUGUUCAUCAUCUCCUAUCUUCUCUCAGAAGAAAGAAAACACCACACAAUGCAACUGCCCAAUGUUUGCCAACCCCAGUGGAACAUGACAGAUUACAAAGGAAUUUCUUCCAGAGGAUAUCUUCAAAGGAUGUUCACAGAUGCGUUUUAAAAUAAAUUGGGAGAACAAAACACGACAUUGACAGCAGUAAGCACUUCCAUCUCUUGUCUUAGACUCUGUGAGAACCCACAGCCCUGUACACGAAGCAAGAGAUGUGCCCAGAAAUGUAUGCCAAGGAGCUGCCUAGGCAAUGAGAG